GACGAACGCUGGCGGCGUGCUUAACACAUGCAAGUCAGGGGGCGGGGUAACCCGUCACCGGCGAACGGGUGCGGAACACGUGAGCGACCUGCCCUGGUGUGGGGGAUAGCCGGCCCAACGGCCUGGUAAUACCGCAUACGGCGCCCGCUUGGAAGCGGGAGGCGAAACUCGCAAGAGGCGCUAUGAGGGGGUCGCGGCCUAUCAGCUAGGUGGUUCGGUAACUGCGCACCAAGGCGGUGACGGGUGGCUGGGCUGGGAGGAUGGCCAGGAACAUUGGGACUGACAGACGGACCAGACUACGACGGGAGGUAGUAGUGGGGAAUACUGCGCGAUGGGUGACAGACUGACGCAGCGACGGAGCGUGCAGGAUGACGUGCUUGGGGGUGUAAAUUGGGGUUGAACGGGACGAAUGCUCUGCCGCGGCGGGGUUGACGGUAACGGGUGAGGAAGCACCGGCUAACUCUGUG
rnacentral:rRNA from 1 species